rnacentral:misc_RNA from 1 species
GAAAUGCGAUAAGUAAUGCGAAUUGCAGAAUCAGUGAAUCAUCGAGUUUUUGAACGCACAUUGCGCCCGCCAGUAUUCUGGCGGGCAUGCCUGUUCGAGCGUCAUUUCAACCAUCAAGCCCCGGGCUUGUGUUGGGGACCUGCGGCUGCCGCAGGCCCUGAAAAGCAGUGGCGGGCUCGCUGUCACACCGAGCGUAGUAGCAUACAUCUCGCUCUGGGCGUGCUGCGGGUUCCGGCCGUUAAACCACCUUCGUAACCCAAGGUUGACCUCGGAUCAGGUAGGAAGACCCGCUGAACUUAAGC